rnacentral:tRNA from 1 species
UCCCUCUUAGCUCAGUUGGUAGAGCGCGUCACUAGUACCGGGGAGUCUAUGACGAGGUCAGUCGUUCGAGUCGGCUAGAGGGAA